rnacentral:rRNA from 1 species
CAGAGUACCACGGGACACGUGAAACCCUGUGGGAAGCAGGAGGGACCACCCUCCAAGGCUAAAUACUACCUAGUGACCGAUAGCGUAUAGUACCGUGAGGGAAAGGGGAAAAGAACCCCGGGAGGGGAGUGAAAUAGAACCUGAAACCCUGCACUUACAAGCUGUGGAAGCACAUUUCUUGUGUGACCGCGUACUUUUUGUAGAACGGGCCAA